rnacentral:rRNA from 1 species
AACGAACGCUGGCGGCAUGCCUAACACAUGCGAGUCGAACGAGACCUUCGGGUCUAGUGGCGCACGGGUGCGUAACGCGUGGGAACCUGCCCUUAGGUUCGGAAUAACUCCCCGAAAGGGGUGCUAAUACCGGAUAAUGUCUUCGGACCAAAGAUUUAUCGCCUUUGGAUGGGCCCGCAUUGGAUUAGCUAGUUGGUAGGGUAAAAGCCUACCAAGGCGACGAUCCAUAGCUGGUCUGAGAGGAUGAUCAGCCACACUGGGACUGAGACACGGCCCAGACUCCUACGGGAGGCAGCAGUGGGGAAUAUUGGACAAUGGGCGAAAGCCUGAUCCAGCAAUGCCGCGUGAGUGAUGAAGGCCUUAGGGUUGUAAAGCUCUUUUACCCGGGAUGAUAAUGACAGUACCGGGAGAAUAAGCGCCGGCUAACUCCGUG